rnacentral:rRNA from 1 species
GAUGAACGCUGGCGGCGUGCUUAACACAUGCAAGUCGAACGGAAAGGCUCCUGCUUGCAGGGGUACUCGAGUGGCGAACGGGUGAGUAACACGUGGGUGAUCUGCCCUGCACUUCGGGAUAAGCCUGGGAAACUGGGUCUAAUACCGGAUAGGACGAUGGUUUGGAUGCCAUUGUGGAAAGUUUUUCGGUGUGGGAUGAGCUCGCGGCCUAUCAGCUUGUUGGUGGGGUAAUGGCCUUCCAAGGCGUCGACGGGUAGCCGGCCUGAGAGGGUGUACGGCCACAUUGGGACUGAGAUACGGCCCAGACUCCUACGGGAGGCAGCAGUGGGGAAUAUUGCACAAUGGGCGCAAGCCUGAUGCAGCGACGCCGCGUGGGGGAUGACGGCCUUCGGGUUGUAAACUCCUUUCGCUAGGGACGAAGCGCAAGUGACGGUACCUGGAGAAGAAGCACCGGCUAACUACGUG